rnacentral:rRNA from 1 species
UACGUAGGCAGCAAGCGUUGUUCGGAAUUACUGGGCGUAAAGGGCUCGUAGGCGGCCAACUAAGUCGGAUGUGAAAUCCCCAGGCUUAACCUGGGAACUGCAUCCGAUACUGGAUGGCUUGAAUCCGGGAGAGGGAUGCAGAAUUCCAGGUGUAGCGGUGAAAUGCGUAGAUAUCUGGAGGAAUACCGGUGGCGAAGGCGGCAUCCUGGACCGGCAUUGACGCUGAGGAGCGAAAGCUAGGGGAGCAAACGGG